rnacentral:rRNA from 1 species
GGCUUAUUGAAAAUAAUUUUAAGUCAAUUCUGCCCAAUGAUUUUAUAAAAUUUAAUGGCUGCAGUAUAAUUAACUGUACAAAGGUAGCAUAAUCAAUUGUUUUUUAAUUAAAAACUGGAAUGAAAGAGUUAAUGAGAUAUAUACUGUCUCAUAUAUAUUUAAUUAAUUUAAAUUUUUAGUAAAAAUGCUGAAAUUUAUUUAUGGGACGAUAAGACCCUAUAGAAUUUUAUAUUAAUAUUAUAAUUAUAAUUUAUUUAUUUAAUAUUAAUAUUUUGUUGGGAGGAUAGAUAAAUUUAUUUAACUUUAUUUAUAAUAUAAACUUUAAUUAAAGAAUAAUUUUUGAUCUUUUAAUAAAAAUUAAAAGAAUAAAUUACCUUAGGGAUAACAGCGUAAUAUCUUUUUAAAGAUCAUAUUGAAAAAGAUGAUUGCGACCUCGAUGUUGAAUUAAGAUAAAUUUUAAAUGGAGAAAUUUAAUAAUUAAGUCUGUUCGACUUUUAAAAUCUU